UUUUAGCCCGGAUAGCAGCGGUUACCCCGCAAUAUGAGUUGGAGAGAAGAGGAUUUAGAGAUGGAAAAGCAAAGGUGUGAGGAGUAAAAGCGAAUAGCCGGAAUAAGC
rnacentral:sRNA from 1 species